rnacentral:rRNA from 1 species
GACGAACGCUGGCGGCGUGCUUAACACAUGCAAGUCGAACGGAAAUGCCCUGCUUUUGUGGUGUGCUCGAGUGGCGAACGGGUGAGUAACACGUGAGUAACCUGCCCUUGACUUUGGGAUAACUUCAGGAAACUGGGGCUAAUACCGGAUAGGAGCUCCUGCUGCAUGGUGGGGGUUGGAAAGUUUCGGCGGUUGGGGAUGUACUCGCGGCUUACCAGCUUGUUGGUGGGGUAGUGGCUUACCAAGGCUUUGACGGGUAGCCGGCCUGAGAGGGUGACCGGCCACAUUGGGACUGAGAUACGGCACAGACUGCUACGGGAGGCAGCAGUGGGGAAUAUUGAACAAUGGGCGGAAGCCUGAUGCAGCAACGCCGCGUGCGGGAUGACGGCCUUCGGGUUGUAAACCGCUUUCGCCUGUGACGAAGCGUGAGUGACGGUAAUGGGUAAAGAAGCACCGGAUAACUACGUG